UUUCCGCUUUGGCCUUCAUUAUGCAUAAUCUAGGUGGGUGGGCCUGGGAUCAACACUGCCCAGUAAAGCUGUUCUGCAUAACUCCUUUAGUGAAAGUCAGAGAACAAGGAGUCUAUGAAUGAGGUGUAGUCAGUACAGGGUUAGUUACUGAUAUAGCACAGUCUAGGAAUGUGAGACAGGUAUACCUAAAAAGAGCAGCCUGUGCUCCAACAAGGAUUGAUAGCUGGAGGUAGCUCUCCCCCUAGACUUGGCUAGCCUAACUGAAGGGACCACAGUACUGAAGAGAGAUGCAGUGUUCUGCCCCACAUCAAGGGUUGAAGAAUCAUUACUACUUCAACAAGCUAGAAUCUGUAUAGCUAGUUACGUAACAGCGCCAUCUAGCGGCAGUAGAAAUCCACUGCAACCUAUGUUUCUUACAUUUGUAUAAAUAAAGUUCUUAAUUAUGCAACUACAGUGCAUUGUGGGUAGCUAGUGCAUUCUGGGAAGGAGAAGGGAGCCACCAUACUGUCUACAGCACAUUUGUAUAGCUCUCCUAGCAUUCCUGCUUCUUAAAUCUCCACUACCCCACAGCCAGCAUAUCUGUUUUACCACGCGAACAUGCAUCGACACACAUACAUCGAUGCUCCUGUUUACUAAUUGCAACUGACCACUUACAGUCAAACAACCUGUUAUCAAUAAACAAGUUAGAUUA